CUGCAGCCGCGACCCGCGCGCAGCCCCGAAGCGCCGCAGCCGGAGACGGGCACGCCCCCCCCCCCCCAGGGCCCCGGAGCCCUCCCGGAUGCUGGGACGCCCCGGACCUCAGGCUAUACAUAUUUACCCAUCAAGAGGUUUAAACAAUGACCUCUUUAAACUUCUGACAAUAACCUUCAGAUGAGAAACUGUACAGACACGUGAGUAAUCAAUUUAAAACCACUAUUACAAUCUUCAACUUUUUUGAACCGUUGAAAUUGUAUUUUAGAAGUCCAGUAGGCCUUAUUUUUUUCAGUGACGGAGGUAAGUUUCUUAUGAUAAUGUGAGUGGAUUUCAGUGAUAAUUGAACUUUUUCAUAUUAAGUCUUUCUAAGUUACAAAGCUGUAAUUUGCAAAAUUUGCAUAUGCACUGUCAGAGAAUUUAGCUUGGAUGCCACUAAAAAGACACAGCAGAUGGAAGGAUGAAGCACCCAGGGGAGGAGAUUCAGGACCGCCAGACCCACCCUGUCCCCCCACUCCCAAGGCUUAUGCUCCUUGGACUUUGGCCCUGCUCCUCUGGUACCUGAAACACAAACUGCUUCCUCCAGCCCGGCCCGGGCCCCCUGCAGCUGCUGGCGAUGAACCUGCUGGCCUCUCGCAGCAUCUUGAGGUGGAUUAGGAUUCCAACAGAGCUGUGGGGACCACCACGUGUGCAACAUCACAUUCUGCUCUGCCGUCCCCGCCGCCCUGGCCACCCUACGGCAUCCCAGAGAAGAUUGCAGAGGCACCUGAAUGCCUUAAGGGAUCCGGGGGUAUCUAUAUUCCUGCCACAUCGGCAUGCAAGGCUUUCCCCUGCAGACCACCCAGAGGGCGGACAAGGAUGAAAGGGACAGUCCCCUCUGUCCUCAUCCCUCCUGUGUCUCUCCUCACCUUCUGUACUCACAACUUCUGCCAUCACUGUGCAAAGUGGGAACAGCAAGGAAGGAGGGCAAUGGGGCCCGGGGCAGAGAUGGAGACCUCACAUGGGGCAGAUGGGGGGAGAAAUCCCCUGCUUCCAGAUGCUCUCAGCUGUGGCCGUAGUUUAUCUCUGAAGGCCGUGUUUAAACUGGGCCUAGGUGUGAGUCAGACACCUUUUGUUCUCAUGUGCAGAGAGCUAAAACUCGGGUCUCUCAAAGAACCUACAUCACGCCGUUCUGUAUGAAAUGUAUUAUGUUUUUUUGUUCGUUGCUUUGUGCUGUGACUUCCCCAAAUGUGAGGUCCAUGAACCACACUUUGAAAACAGAAACUACUGCCCUGUGCUUCUCUCUUCCACCCCCCAAAUGGAAACUCCUGGUACAGCAUUUCUUAAUCUCGAGCUUCCGAGAUUACCACAUGGGUUGGGAUGCCCCCAGGAACUGUUCAAGGCUCUCUCCUCCGGCCAGUGCAAUAACUUUCAUUUUUCUCAUUUUUAGAGGGGGGGAAAAGGGGUCUGCAGUGGGGCUCCCCCAAACUGCAUGGGGCCAAAUGAUGGAGCAGUCCCUGAUGGAUUUGUGGAAAUAAUCUCCUAAGCUUCUCCCACGACUCCUUAUUAGCCAGAGUCCCCUCAUCCCAGGACCACACAUCACCUGCAAACACGAUGUGAGGGGGGACUACCGACAACUUAUUGCUUGGGUGAGGCAAGGAAUUGUUUUAAAAAAUUAAGCACAGGCUGAUCUGCAAGUGUAAAUGUAAAGGUAGGAAAAAAAAAAAAAAACCACCAGAAGAGCAUCCUCUCCAAAAACAAUCAUUACUAACCUCCUUUGAAACGGUGUUCUUCACACAUUACAUGUUAGGAAAUUGGCCGGAUUAGUAUCUCAACAGCCUUUAAAAAAAAGGUGUUUCAGGCUUAUUCUCACGUGAUUAGUUGAAACCAAGUGAGUUAAACACAUUUUGGGGUUUGCCGUUGCAGUUACAACACUAAGAACAAUUGCCAAGUUUCCUCUCAGCGUGUCUUGGGGAGACUUCUCCCCCUUCUUAACCAAAGCCCGGGAUUAAUGUUCAUGAGAACAUUUUUCUAAGUGUCAAGAUGCUUCGAUGGAUGGACUGCAUAAUAAUGAAGCAUCCUGAUACGUUCCGACCGUAUUAAAAAUAAUGCUAGUAGCUGUCGUCUUUUAGGCACUAGCUGCGUCCCGAGCACUGUGCCCAUUGCUUUCCUGAGAUGGGCACGAGUCUCUCUUUUUUGCCAGUAGGAUUUACAUGACUUUAAAGAGGCUAACUAAUGUGUCCAAGGAAACCAGACGCUAAUCCGUGUCUGAUCCCAAGUUCAAAGAAGCGAUGUCUUGCAUCUACCAGCACGGGGUUAGAUGGAUGCAAAAGCGCCUGGGUGCGUGGCUGGGUCUGCUGGUGCCGCUCGGAGGAGACCAGGACUGAACCUCGGCCCGUUGUGAAAGGCCUCCCGCUGCUUUCCCAUCUGGCCUCUCCUUUGCGGGAGGCUGGUCUUCCUUUCCAGGCUCUAGCCUCUGGCUCCCUUCUGCCACAUAUGAAUACAUGUCAGACACACCUCUACUGGGUCUUCAGCUGGACAAUCUAUUAUCUCUAACCAUGGGAGGAGAGGUUCUGAAAGCAUUUCAGCUGUCUCCCGGGGGUAGAGAUGUGGAAGAGGGCCGAGCCCAGGAAAACUCAGAAAUAGAACGCUAGUUUUGCUCAUGCUUAAGGGAAACCAGCUUUAAUGUCUCUUGGGGUCUGUGGGAGCCCAGAGGGACUUCCUGCCCCCUCUCAGCCCGGUUCUGGGUGGAAUGAUGUGUGCUUAGAGGCACUGCUGGGGCUUAAGAGCGUCCUGAAAUGUUCUCACGGAUGCUGAGGGCGGAUGGACCGGCAGCUUUUCCCACUCACCCACCCAGCUCUGGCACAGAGCACAGCCCCCCGAGGCCAAGGCUCUCCCCAAAACAAGGGUCCUCACCCAAA